rnacentral:rRNA from 1 species
CCUACGGGUGGCAGCAGUGAGGAAUAUUGGUCAAUGGGCGUAAGCCUGAACCAGCCAAGUCGCGUGAGGGAUGAAGGUUCUAUGGAUCGUAAACCUCUUUUAUAAGGGAAUAAAGUGUGGGACGUGUCCUAUUUUGUAUGUACCUUAUGAAUAAGGAUCGGCUAACUCCGUGCCAGCAGCCGCGGUAAUACGGAGGAUCCGAGCGUUAUCCGGAUUUAGUGGGUUUAAAGGGUUGCUAGGCGGCCUUUUAAGUCAGCGGUGAAAGUCUGGGGCUCAACCGUAGUAUUGCCGUUGAAACUGGGGGUCUUGAGUAUGUUUGAGGCAGGCGGAAUGCGUGGUGUAGCGGUGAAAUGCUUAGAUAUCACGCAGAACCCCGAUUGCGAAGGCAGCCUGCCAGGCCAUGACUGACGCUGAUGCACGAAAGCGUGGGGAUCAAACAGGAUUAGAUACCCCUGUAGUC